UACGAAGGGGGCUAGCGUUGCUCGGAAUCACUGGGCGUAAAGCGCACGUAGGCGGAUUGUUAAGUCCGGGGUGAAAUCCUGGAGCUCAACUCCAGAACUGCCUUUGAUACUGGCGAUCUCGAGUCCGGGAGAGGUGAGUGGAACUGCGAGUGUAGAGGUGAAAUUCGUAGAUAUUCGCAAGAACACCAGUGGCGAAGGCAGCUCACUGGCCCGGUACUGACGCUGAGGUGCGAAAGCGUGGGGAGCAAACAGG
rnacentral:rRNA from 1 species